rnacentral:lncRNA from 1 species
ACUAGCGCGGCGGCCGCCGGCCCGCAAUGGUGCUACCCUGGUUGCUGCUCGAGACUGCGCGCAGGGCGGUCCUCGGGUCCGCGGAGGCUGCGCUCUGCGGUGAGCUUGGUGGUCCCUGGGGAAAGGGAGAGCGCCUAACCUUAGACUUCAGGCAAGGGUUAACAUUGGUGGGGGUGCUCGCUUCUUUAGACUUCCAGUUAAAAGUCAGACCCAUCACUCUUGGCACCUGGGGAUGUAACACCCACCUGGGGAAGAUUUCGGGCUACCCGAACCUGUGGGCGCUCUGGGGACGCAGGGACAGAGCCAUGAAAAUGACAGAUGAAAAUAGAAAAGUGUGGCUGGUCUGAAGGUUUGACGUCAAUAAAGGGAAACUGCCACAAUUUUUAUACUGCUAUUUCUAAAGAUGUCACUUAUAAGGAACUUAAAAACCUGUUGAAUUCUAAAAAUAUUAUGUUAAUUGAUGUUAGAGAGAUAUGGGAAAUUCUGGAGUAUCAAAAAAUCCCUGAGUCUAUCAAUGUACCAUUGGAUGAAGUAGGUGAAGCUCUACAGAUGAAUCCAAGAGACUUCAAAGAGAAGUACAAUGAAGUAAAACCAUCCAAAUCUGACAGCUAGUGUUUUCUUAUUUAGCCGGAGUGAGAAGCAAGAAGGCCCUGGACACAGCAAUAUCUCUGGGCUUUCACAGUUCUGGAGGUCAGAAGUCCUAAAUGUCAUCCUUUCCUUUCACUGGUGUGCCACAGCAAGAUGGUGGUGCAGUUUUUCAAGAAGAGGAAGUUUGUCAUUGAUGGUAUCUUCAAAGCUGAACUGAAUGAAGUUCUCAUUCAGGAGCUGGCUGAAGAUAGCUACUCUGGAGUUGAGGUCUGAGUUACACCAGCUAGGACAGAAAUCUUUACCUUAGCCACCAGAACACAGAAUGUUCUUGGUGAGAAGGGCUGGCAUAUUUGGGAAUUGACUGCUGUAGUUCAGAAGAGGUUUGGCUUUUCAGAGGGUAAAGUAGAGCUUUAUGCUGAAAAGGUGUCUACAAGAGAUAUGUGCCAUUGUCCAGGCAGAGUCUCUGUGUUACAAACCCCUAGGAGGGCUUGCUGUGCAGAAGGCCUGCUAUGGUGUGCUGCGGUUCAUCAUGGAGUGUGGGACUAAAGGCUUCAAGGUCAUUGUGUCCAGGAAACUCUGAGGACAGAGGGCUAAAUCCAUGAAGUUUGUGAAUGGCCUGAUGAUCCACAGCUGGGACCCUGUUAAUACUAUGUUGACACCGCUGUGCACCAUGUGCUGCUCCAACAGGCUGUGCUGGGCAUCAAGGUGAAGGUCAUGCUUCCCUGGGAACCAGCUGGUAAGAUUAGCCCUAGGAAGUCCCUGCCCGACCAGGGGCAGGGGACCCAUCUUUGGGUUCGUGGAACCCAAAGAUGAGAUACUCUCCACCACUCCCAUCUCAGAAGAGAAGGGUAGGAAGCCAGAGCCACCUGCCAUGUCCCAGCCAGUCCCCACAGCAUAACAGGGUCUACUUAGCAGCUGUGUCUGGAGUCUGGAUGUUGUUCUGUAAAGAACUUUAAUAAAAUCUUGUACAAAGAAAAAAGUCCUAAAG